GCCCAGAUAGCUCAGUGGUAGAGCACUGCCUUGGUAGGGUAGAGGUCGGCGGUUCAAACCCGCUUCUGGGCU
rnacentral:tRNA from 1 species